CUGCGUGAAGCUGGAAUCGCUAGUAAUCGCGGAUCAGCAUGCCGCGGUGAAUACGUUCCCGGGCCUUGUACACACCGCCGUCACACCAUGAGAGUCGGGAACACCCGAAGUCCGUAGCCUGACCGCGAAGGGGGGCGCGGCCGAAGGUGGGUUCGAUAAUUGGGGUGAAGUCGUAACAAGGUAUC
rnacentral:rRNA from 1 species